AGUAACACGUUGGAACCUGCCCCAAAGUGAGGAAUUAAGCCACCGAAAGGUGGUCUAAUACUUCAUAAUAUCCAUCUCGUAUGGAUUAAAGCUUUAUGCGCUUUGGGAGGGGCCUGCGUAACAUUAGCUUGUUGGUGAGGUAAAAGCUCACCAAGGCUUCGAUGUUUAACCUGGUUUGAGAGGAUGACCAGUCACACUGGGACUGAGAUACGGCCCAGACUCCUACGGGAGGCAGCAGUAAGGAAUCUUCCACAAUGGGGCAACCCUGAUGGAGCAAUACCGCGUGCAGGAUGAAGCGUUUCGGCGUGUAAACUGCUUUAUCGCCGAAGAUUAUGACUGUAGGUGAAGAAUAAGGACCGGCUAACUACGUG
rnacentral:rRNA from 1 species